rnacentral:rRNA from 1 species
GUAUGGUCCGCCCGUCGGAUUCAGUCCGCCUGCGCGGCGGGGCCGUCGGUUGCGCAUCCCUCGUGGGAGCGCGCCGGCGUCUCGAUCGUCGUGCGGCGGCCGUACUUUCGGCGGGCGGAGCGCCACGACCGGUUCGCGGGCGGCGAGAAACUCUCGGGCAAGGUGACCUCCGCCUCGGCGCAGGAGCAUACAGGCCCGGKGAGCGCAGGCCCGUCCGCGGACCGAGGAAGACCGUCGCGGUGCGGCGUCGACCGCCCGUCGUGGGCGCGCGUUCGACUCGGGGGGACUGGUUUCAGUGCCCUCGGACCGCGUGCGUCUAGCGGCGGGACGGCCCGGCGUCGCGCCUGGGGUCGGUGGCGAAACGGCCGGCAACCUGUCCGACCCGUCUUGAAACACGGACCAAGGAGUCUAACAUGUGCGCGAGUCGUUGGGCGUUACGAAACCCGAAGGCGCAAUGAAAGUGAAGGCCCGGUCUCCGGCCGGCCUGGGUGGGAUCCGGACGGUCGCGGCCGUCCGGCGCACCACCGGCCCGUCUCGUUCGCCACGUCGAUGAGGCGGAGCAAGAGCGUACACGUUGGGACCCGAAAGAUGGUGAACUAUGCCUGAGUAGGACGAAGCCAGAGGAAACUCUGGUGGAGGUCCGCAGCGAUUCUGACGUGCAAAUCGAUCGUCAAACUUGGGUAUAGGGGCGAAAGACUAAUCGAACCAUCUAGUAGCUGGUUCCUGUCGAAGUUUCCCUCAGGAUAGCUGGCGCUCGUCGUGAGCAGUUUUAUCCGGUAAAGCGAAUGACUGGAGGCCUUGGGGACGAAACGUCCUCAACCUACUCUCAAACUUUAAAUGGGUAAGACGUCCGACUCGCUCG